UACGGAGGGUGCAAACGUUGCUCGGAAUCAUUGGGCGUAAAGCGCACGUAGGCGGCCUGAUAAGUCGGGUGUGAAAGCCCUGGGCUCAACCCAGGAAGUGCACUCGAAACUGUCAGGCUUGAAUAUGGAAGAGGGUCGCGGAAUUCCCGGUGUAGAGGUGAAAUUCGUAGAUAUCGGAAGGAACACCAGUGGCGAAGGCGGCGACCUGGGCCAAUAUUGACGCUGAGGUGCGAAAGCGUGGGGAGCAAACAGG
rnacentral:rRNA from 1 species